ACUAGAUGUGAAUGAAUGUGUCCUCAAACUAAUCCAUAAAAUCAAGCAUCAAAACAGGCUCUUUAAGCCCUAUUAACAGCUGUCAAACUUCAUUGGAACUUCCCGAUGUGAUUCUCGCACAAUUCCACCCCGUUUUAAGAAAAAGUUUGCCCCGUUCUUACGUCUGAGCGCAAAGUUACAGCCUCCUGAAGUUUUUGGGCUGAUCCAAAGCUCCCAUGGGUGUUUUUGAUAAGCACUUCUCUGGGAGGUUUUAUGAUAUUAUUACUCUUAUAAGUAAGUAAGACAGUCCUAAUCAACAUAGCACAAAAGGUGUUUACUUUUUGGAUAUUCAUCUCCACCAAAACGCUUCAUCCACCAUCUUCCUCCACCAUGUGAGACUACACCAUGUCGGCACCACUUUCGGAGUUCGUCUUCUUCCACCAUGGAAAGAUUACGAAGUGGCAAUACAUGAGGUGCUGUUGACCGCCUCAAAAUGUCCUUUUGUAGCAGGUUUAUUGCCCUCAUUUCCAGAGGAUUCAUCUAAAUCAUCCAAAUUUUCUUCCAUUGGGUCACUCUUUAAGACCUGGAAGAAUGGCCAAGCUUUCCAGCUGACUGAAGGUUCCAGCAGUUCACAACAGCUCCUCCAGCAGGUUUUCCAGAUACAACCUCCUCCUGCAGUCUCAAUGUUCUAGGUUCUCUCCGGCAUCAACUCAACUCAAUAAUCUCCCAAUCAAUCAUUCACAGCCAAGCAAAGGAAGGAGCAAUUAGAACUAAGUCAUCAUUCUCAUUUGCAUGUAACAUAUAAUUGUAACUGGAAAGAUUUCUAUUGAAUAAAGUCAAGCAGAUUUUACUAUUUCA